AGCUGGGCACGACAGCAAGUAAGGAGAGGUUCCUGAUGCCACCUCUUGCCGUUCCUCCAAGCCCCAAUGGGAACAAGCUCCCUGCUACGACCAGGACUCGAGAUGAAGCAUGGAGGAGAAUGCCCAAGGAGAGUUUCUCUGCGUGCGAGGGGGGAAAUGAGAAUUUCGUGCAGUGCUGAUUGCUGCACUUUUGUGCAGGAGGAGAGAGGGAGUGCAAAUGGAAAUCUUUGCUUUCUUCCCAAUCAAAAUAAAAACGUUCCUCACCAUGUUUUUCUGGACUGGGGAGAUUUCUGAAUUUACUUGUGAUGCACAGCUCUGUUUAUAAGCUCCCUUUAGGUACUGCAAGGCUACAGUGAGGUCUUCCCAUUGCCUCCUCUUCACCAGGAUACCCCAAAAUGUGAUAUUUCUGCUUUAGCUCAAGCUUGGAAGAUUUGGGAUGCUGAUGCAACGUUGAAAUCACCCAAUGCAAUACAAGUCCCUAUGGAAGGCAAUGCAAGACCUUGAAACAGAUGUUUAACAUACCUAAAACUGGAUGAAAUACCAUUGCUCUGUGCCAGGAAUUAUGAAGUAGGAUAUAGAUUUAAAAGGAAAAAAAAAGGAGAGAUUUUUGUAAUUAUUGUGGGAAGUUCUGUUGGAGCAACACUUAAUUAUUGAAACAGCCCUCUGGUACGAGCCACUGCUCAAACAUUGAUGGAUGAGAGCUGCUCAUCUCCCCAAGGAAAAUGAGAAUUUCAGUCUAGGAAGGCGAAGCUAUUUGUGAUAAUGGUGAUUGUGAUUAUAUGGCAAAGGUGCCUGGGACUGAACUGGUAACAAUUAAGGACUGAGGGUGUUUUGGGGGGACUCUUAUAUCAAGAAAACAGGGAAAUAGUUAUCUCAUGUGGUAUAGUUAUAACUAGAAAAAUAAUAAAAUGGAAUAGAGUGCAAUGAAGCUGGACA
rnacentral:lncRNA from 1 species